rfam:Camelus ferus unplaced genomic scaffold scaffold251, whole genome shotgun sequence.
GGGGGUACAGCUCAGUGGUAGAGUGUGUGCUUGGUGGGCACAAGGUCCUGGGUUCAAUCUCUAGUGCCUCCA